AAACACCAUAACAGGAGAUGGCUAUGAAGACCCAUUGUUGAACAGAUCCCAAAUGUUGGAUGUCUAUCUAUUGACAGUACCAGCACACAUGACCACUGUGACUUCUGACAAAGCUGUCUCAAUGGACCUGAAUUUACUGUUUCCUUGAAGCCAAACAAGGCCCACCCAACAAGCUUGGCCAGGGAGUGAUCAACUAAGAGGAAGCCAGACAAGAGAGAUGGCCAGACUUGCCUGAAAUAAGAACCUGGGCUUUGAUGGCUGAACAACCCCAGUUUGGCAAGACUCAAUCUACAGCUUGGAGGGCAAGCCAGCCCAACUGACCUCUCCACCACCACCUGUUGUCUGUGAGUCCAGACAACAGGACUCACAAAUUUCUUGAUUAUGCUAUUGAAAUAAUAAAAAAGAGACAUCCAUAUGUACACAGAGACUUUGAUCAAUAUAUUUACCAAUGAAAAAACUGUAAUUAUCUGUUGUGUCAUGUGAUGGCAUAUAGAGACCAGUGAAAUGUGUGAAGUGGAGGAGAUGAAAGAGACCUUUUAAUUUUGGAAAUGAAGAGAGAUAGCUCUGAUGGAGAAAGCAAAAAGAGAUGGUCGUUAACAUCUUGAGAUUUCGAUGAUGCCCAAUGCGUCCAUUUCCUGGUCCCUGAGCAGAUGUGGGACUACAACAGGCACACGUGAUGCAGGACUCGGCAGCCAUCUCCAUGUUUCUGAAGCCUGUGGCACACCAAUGGAAGUGAAGACUAUGCAGCACAGGCACAGACAAGAUCUGACCAUGAAGUCUGUAUCAGACCAGUGGAAGGGACUUUUUUGUAGACUCAAGAAUCAACAAUCUGUCGUGGUAAGGAUGCUUUGGAUCAUACAGCAGUGCUUUGACUGAAUAAUAUGCCUUUCUGGAACAUGUCUAUUAUAGAAAGUAGCUCAGAAGGUUACAGAUACACUGAGAAAUGGGUAAAGUAUGCAGUGACCUUACAUGAAUCCACAUCUGCAUAUUUCUAACCUUAAGCAAGUAAAACCUUUGUGAAAUUAGCUAAGGACUAUAAACAGCCGAUCCUGGGUCAGGACCAUGUAAUUGGACCAAAGGAUGGCUUUAUGACUUUGUGCCAGCAAUGCAGAAAAGCAAGUUUUUUUUUCAUGUUUUCUCUAUAAUGAUGGCUGAAUCAGACAGGUCUUUUUGCACUCAUUCAAUGGUCAUAACUCUGAGAAACCCAUCCAUGUGGGGAACUAGGAGUCAAGACCUUGUUCCAACAUGAACUGGAGGAACAAGAGUCUGCUUGGUGUAUGCCUGUCCUGUGGGCAGAGCCAUCCUCAAAAGGCCUUUGGCGUGAUUUACUCCUGCCUCUGCUUGUUGUCAUGUUCAAAAAUACCUGGGAUGAAUCAGUAGACUUUUCACUAUAGCUUUCAGCAUGGGCUGGGCAAUUCCUUUAAAAAACCUAGAUCUGACUUCUUUGCCUGUCUAUUUGACAAAGGUGAAAGCUUACGAGCAUUUCUAUUCUACUAGAAGCAACAGAUAUUUUGAAAAAAGCCCACAGAUAAAAAAGCCAUCUUUUCUGAAGAGUUUAAAUUAAUAAUGGAGACCUAUCUUACCUUCAUAAGCAUCUGCUUAAGGUUAGCCUUCUGAAAACCUGCUUUCGAGAUUAUCUCUCCAUCAUCAUCAUUAACUGUCCUUUGUUGCUAAAAGGGUAACAAUGACCAAAUAAGUGCUAUAAAUGACUUCUGUCUUUUCAGUGAUGCAGCAUGCCUUGAAACAAUGACUUGUGUUCAUUUCAUCAAUUGGUAGCACACUACUCUUGAGUGAAUGGAAACAAGUGAAGAUGGAUCACUUCAUAGACAAUAAAAUUAUGAGUUAGAAUAGGCUGUGUGGAAUGAAUCCUGUUAAAUAAAUAAUAGGAUAAUCCUUUAAAUAAAUCAGUUAUUGUACGAUGCUCAGA